GAUGAACGCUGGCGGCGUGCCUAACACAUUCAAGUCGAGCGAUCUCUUCGGCGAGAGCUGCGGACGGGUGAGUAACGCGUGGGUAACCUGCCCUGUACACACGGAUAACAUACCGAAAGGUAUGCUAAUACGGGAUAAUAUAUAAAAGUCGAAUGGCUUUUAUAUCAAAGCUUUUGCGGUACAGGAUGGACCCGCGUCUGAUUAGCUAGUUGGUAAGGUAACGGCUUACCAAGGCGACGAUCAGUAGCCGACCUGAGAGGGUGAUCGGCCACACUGGAACUGAGACACGGUCCAGACUCCUACGGGAGGCAGCAGUGGAGAAUAUUGCACAAUGGGCGAAAGCCUGAUGCAGCAACGCCGCGUGAGCGAUGAAGGCCUUCGGGUCGUAAAGCUCUGUCCUCAAGGAAGAUAAUGACGGUACUUGAGGAGGAAGCCCCGGCUAACUACGUGCCAGCAGCCGCCGCGG
rnacentral:rRNA from 1 species